AUCUCAACUCUCUUUUACAUCUCAAAUCUCUCCCAAAUUUUUCUUAAUUUCCUCUCAAAUUCUCACUCAAAUUUUAUUUCUCUCUAAAUUUUUUUAUUAAAAUUAUUUUAACAUUUUUGUAAAUUAUUUUUUCUAUUAGAAAUUAUUCGGUGUUUUUCCAAAUUAGGAAUGGCAAGAUCUCUAAUCCAUUUUGAUGACAUUUCCAUCAAUCAAUUGCAAACGGUGGAAGAUCAAAUUUUGUAGAUUUAUAUUCGUAAUCUACUUGCUCCUCCAUAACCCUUGAUUGAACCCUACUUGAGAGACGUCAAUUUUUCACACAUAGUCCUUCUAGGUGGGGAUGUAAGUUGGACCCGACACUCAUAAGCGCAUUGGUGGAAAGGUGAAGACUAAGGUGCAUACAUACCAUCUUCCAUGCGGUGGAGGACGUGCAGUUAAAACUCGGAUUCCCAGUGGAUGGGCCGGUAGUGAUUAGGUUAGUUCACGCAAUCAAUUGGAAAGGCAUAUGUGCCGAACUUUUGGAAAGAUUUUGAAGACGAUUUUUGGAGGCAAGAUCGAAAUGGGUUCGUUAAGAAGAAACUUUGAUUGGCUCGAUAAAGAUUUGAUUGAAAUUUAAAGAGAAUAACAUGCUAAGACAUACAUCUUUUUUAUAAUCGGGGUAUCCUAAUACCAGAUAUGUAAUACCCCGUACCCGAGUCCGUUAUCGGAAUUGAACACAAGGUGCACAUAGACUUAACUAUUUUCACAGUCCAUUUAGAAAUUUCCAGACAAGCUGGUUACUGCAUCACUGUCGCCUUAAAAAUCAUAUCUUGAGUUUCAAAGCUCGAAAA